UUUGUUUGGUUAGUAAAAAAAGACAAAGAAAAGAAAAAAAUGGAAAGAAAGGUAGAGAAUAUAAAUAAAAAUAAAGUUAUUUAGAAGUUUGAUUAGAAAGUAGUAAAAGAAAAUAAUAAAAAAAAUAAAUAUAUGUAUUUAUAAAAUGAAGUACAUAUUAAAUACAUCAAAUAUUAAUUUAAUUACAAUAACAAAAAAUAUUAAAACAAAAUAAAUAAAAUAAAAAUAGAAAAUUAAAGGCAAGUUUGAUUUGGUUUUGUAAAAUUGUUUUUUAAUUUUUAAAAUUUGAAGACAAUAAAACUUAAAAUUUUUACCUCAUACCCCUACCGUUAUCCCUCUACCCCCUACAUUUUUAAAAAUAUUCUAAUUAUACCCUUUUUACUUAUCAAAUAAUUUUAUUAUUUAAUAUUUAUCAUUUCACAUCCCUAUCAAAGUGUACCGGAUAACUUUGUCCAAAGUUUUCCGGUAUGUGAUUUUUC
rnacentral:lncRNA from 1 species